GACGAGCGCUGGCGGCGUGCUUAACACAUGCAAGUCGAACGAAGAGCGAUGGAAGCUUGCUUCUAUCAAUCUUAGUGGCGAACGGGUGAGUAACGCGUAAUCAACCUGCCCUUCAGAGGGGGACAACAGUUGGAAACGACUGCUAAUACCGCAUACGAUCUGACCUCGGCAUCGAGGAUAGAUGAAAGGUGGCCUCUACAUGUAAGCUAUCACUGAAGGAGGGGAUUGCGUCUGAUUAGCUAGUUGGAGGGGUAACGGCCCACCAAGGCGAUGAUCAGUAGCCGGUCUGAGAGGAUGAACGGCCACAUUGGGACUGAGACACGGCCCAGACUCCUACGGGAGGCAGCAGUGGGGAAUCUUCCGCAAUGGACGAAAGUCUGACGGAGCAACGCCGCGUGAGUGAUGACGGCCUUCGGGUUGUAAAGCUCUGUUAAUCGGGACGAAAGGCCUUUUUGCGAAUAGUGAGAAGGAUUGACGGUACCGGAAUAGAAAGCCACGGCUAACUACGUG
rnacentral:rRNA from 1 species